AAGAACUGGGUUUGUUUAGUUUGGAAAAGAGAAGACUGAGAGGGGACAUGAUAGCAGUUUUCAGUUUUGGGAACCUUCAGAGAGUGCUGACAAAUAUCAGAGAGUGCUGACAAAAGGAUAAACAGAGGGUUUUGAGAGAAGUGAAGGAAGAUAUAUAUAUCAAAAUAUUCUGAGUACUUGAAUUCCCCCCACGAGUAUAUAUAAAGCAAUUGAAUGAGACAGCUGAGAGAGAUAUCGGAAAGCUGCCCAAGACGACAGAAGACUUGCUGGACAGAAUAACUCCCAACCGUUGUUUAUCGCUCUAGAAGAAAAAACACCAGUUUAAUUCUGAAAAGAGUAUUGCUGAGGAGAGAGAGGGAUCCAGGAGCAGCAACAGCUGCAAGCACCGGCAACUUCCACAACCUCUACAAAUAAUCAGAAGAGGAAGCAAGUUAUUUUAUAACAUAUAGUGUAGCAUAGUUUUAGUAUAGUAUUAGGCACUGUAUAUGCUUGAAAUGUGUGUGUAUGUCUUCAUUGUAAUUUAUCUAUGUAAAACUCAAAAGAAUAAGCUAAGAACUGCUGUCAGCACAGACUGGCUACCUGUAGCA